ACUCCUACGGGAGGCAGCAGUGGGAAGUAUUGACAAUGGGCGAAAGCCUGAUCCAGCCAUGCCGCGUGUGUGAAGAAGGUCUUCGGAUUGUAAAGCACUUUAAGUUGGGAGGAAGGGCAGUAAGUUAAUACCUUGCUGUUUGACGUUACCAACAGAAUAAGCACCGGCUAACUUCGUGCCAGCAGCCGCGGUAAUACGAAGGGUGCAAGCGUUAAUCGGAAUUACUGGGCGUAAAGCGCGCGUAGGUGGUUCGUUAAGUUGGAUGUGAAAGUCCCGGCUGCAACCUGGGAACUGCAUCCAAAACUGGCGAGCUAGAGUAUGGCAGAGGGUGGUGGAAUUUCCUGUGUAGCGGUGAAAUGCGUAGAUAUAGGAAGGAACACCAGUGGCGAAGGCGACCACCUGGGCUAAUACUGACACUGAGGUGCGAAAGCGUGGGAGCAAACAGGAUUAGAUACCCU
rnacentral:rRNA from 1 species